UGAUCGAUACAGCCCGCAGCUGGCCAUGUGACGGCCGACAAAAGCAGGCGAGCCGCAGUCUCCGGUUUUCAGCGUCCGCGGGGAGGCGGCGGUAAACACACGACUGACAACCUGAUCGAAAUAACGCUUGAUCCCGUAAUACACGUGAGUAGGGCGCUAGCGCGUCUGUCGUGACGAAGGUAACGGUCUUUUGAAGUAUUCGAUCGUACGAGGUGGGCAGAGAUAUGAGGAGCUGUUUUUAACCUACAAAAGUAGUGUCGUGAAGUUUCAUUUACCGACCGACGUCUGCUAUAUGUGAUUAGGAACAAACAAACACUGGGCUCUGACAGCUCCAAUUUUUUAUUGGCUCCCUGCAGCUGUCUGUCCUGAGGUAUCUGACGAUGCAAGGGCACUAGGACCGGAGUCUCGUCCGUGGAGCGCUGUGUUGGUAUCGGCCGUCUCACGAGGCUGAGGGCGCGGCCGCAGGAGUGCGCCGGCAUGCCCGAGCAGCUGGAGCUGCAGCAGCUGGUGGAGGCGGACGACGAGGCGGCC